UGCCCCUCACUUGCCAAUACGUCUAGAUCAGCCAGGGCGUCGGCAUGUGUAGCGUAUUAUGUUGGGCUCUCUCGAGAUAAGGAUACGAUGUCCCUUUAUCGGUUGGUUUCCUGUGUGUGCGGCCCGUUCGUUUUUUUCGUUACUUUCGCAUCGUUCGGUGCAUUCUGGGGGCUGUGUUGGCUUUUGGUGGCUUGCUUGGCCUUUUGGCUUUGCUUGUUGCUACUUGUCGGGCUGCUUUCGGGAAUGUCGACCGUGGAGGUGCAUGAGUGGUGUUUGGUUUGUUACGUGUGGAUGACUGUUUGCUUGUGCAACAACGUUCACGCUGCAUACCUCUUCAGUUUUGCGGCAAGGCUUGGUUUGGCUUGUGCAUAUUGUGGGCUUCCUGUGUUGCAUACCUAGUUGAUGGAAAAGUGUGGGUUUUACGAUUUUCAUUUUCGUCUUGCGUCGUUCUUUUGGCGUGGGAUGAACAAUGAAGCGAUCUUUAUGAUCCAUCGUGCUGUUGCGUUUGCAACAAUGAUGUGGCCUAUGAAGCAUCGUUUGGUCUCUUGUAUACGGAAGCUCAUUUGGGCUUGGGUCUUUAUAAGAUCUUCGUUACGCCCUUGUUAAGCGUUCUCGCUUCUCCUAAACGAUUG
rnacentral:misc_RNA from 1 species